rnacentral:rRNA from 1 species
UACGUAGGGUGCAAGCGUUGUCCGGAAUUAUUGGGCGUAAAGAGCUCGUAGGCGGUUUGUCGCGUCGAAUGUGAAAACCCGGGGCUCAACUCCGGGCCUGCAUUCGAUACGGGCAGACUAGAGUUCGGUAGGGGAGUCUGGAAUUCCUGGUGUAGCGGUGAAAUGCGCAGAUAUCAGGAGGAACACCGGUGGCGAAGGCGGGACUCUGGGCCGAUACUGACGCUGAGGAGCGAAAGCGUGGGGAGCGAACAGG